ncrna:unclassified sequences pemK RNA
AUCAUGAUACUUCCGUCCAGUCCUAAAGCCGAGCGUGAAGCGGCAUAUCCGCCGCAAGCCGUCGCAGCAAAGGAGGGCGGCCCGGUGAGAACCACGGGGUGGUGAAAUUCCAAUGA